rnacentral:rRNA from 1 species
GACGAACGCUGGCGGCGUGCUUAACACAUGCAAGUCGAACGGAAAGGCCCUGCUUUUGUGGGGUGCUCGCGUGGCGAACGGGUGAGUAACACGUGAGUAACCUUCCCUUUACUUUGUGAUAACUUCAGGAAACUGGUGCUAAUACCUGAUAGGAGCUCCUGCUGCAUGGUGGGGGUUGGAAAGUUUCGGCGGUUGGGGAUGGACUCGCGGCUUAUCAGCUUGUUGGUGGGGUAGUGGCUUACCAAGGCUUUGACGGGUAGCCGGCCUGAGAGGGUGACCGGCGACAUUGGGACUGAGAGACGGCGCAGACUGGUACGGGAGGCAGCAGUGGGGAAUAUUGCACAAUGGGCGGAAGCGUGAUGCAGUAACGCCGCGUGCGGGAUGACGGCCUUCGGGUUGUAAACCGCUUUAGCCUGUGACGAAGCGUGAGUGACGGUAAUGGGUAAAGAAGCACCGGCUAACUACGUG